GCAGACAUAUUGAUGAUUUGUCAGUCAAAUAGCCUUGCAGAAUGGACAACAAAAGAUAGCAAACAUUAUGUCGUGUCUAGAUAUGACUGGAAAACAUGCUAGGUGUAUGUGUAUACUGCUACUACACCAACCGAAGUACGAAUUACAAUUCCUCCUUAAUUCGGACACUAACAAACUAGCUUUUGAAAUUGACUCGGCUCAUUCAAUAGGUUGGCAACAAGAUCGGAUGUUAAAUAACCAAAGGAGCAACACCCAACCCACAGGAAACUAUGAGCAUGUGUAUCAUCAAGUUUGUCGGUUCUUCAUUUUUCUCCUUAGCCAACUACAUGGAAGGGAAGUAUGUUUGAUUUGUUUCGAAUUGAUUGCAAGAAAUACAUGUAUGCCACCUACA
rnacentral:lncRNA from 1 species